GUAAUUUUUAAUUAGGAGCGGCUUACCUAACCAUUUCGAUGGUAUCUAAGGCAAGCUUAGCAGACCCUCCCACCAAUCUCACUUACCUAGCUAAUUUGAUAAAUUAUAUCUUGAUUAGAUCGCUAAGUGAUUCGAGUUGACCCAUACCAUUAAAGUUGAUCAGUGUGACUGAUCUAGGUGUUAGGAUGCGUAGGUGAUUUCAUGCAUGUAUUUUGAAUUUUUUUUAAAAAAAUUAUAGCAG
rnacentral:lncRNA from 1 species